rnacentral:rRNA from 1 species
UACGUAGGGGGCAAGCGUUGUCCGGAAUCAUUGGGCGUAAAGCGCGUGUAGGCGGUUCAGUAAGUCUGCUGUGAAAGUCCAGGGCUCAACCCUGGGAUGCCGGUGGAUACUGCUGGGCUAGAGGCUGGUAGGGGCAAGCGGAAUUCCUGGUGUAGCGGUGAAAUGCGCAGAUAUCAGGAGGAACACCGGUGGCGAAGGCGGCUUGCUGGGCCGGUUCCGACGCUGAGGAGCGAGAGCGUGGGGAGCGAACAGG